GAUGAACGCUGGCGGCGUGCCUAAUACAUGCAAGUCGAACGAAACUUCUUUAUCACCGAGUGCUUGCACUCACCGAUAAAGAGUUGAGUGGCGAACGGGUGAGUAACACGUGGGCAACCUGCCCAAAAGAGGGGGAUAACACUUGGAAACAGGUGCUAAUACCGCAUAACCAUAGUUACCGCAUGGUAACUAUGUAAAAGGUGGCUAUACUACCGCUUUUGGAUGGGCCCGCGGCGCAUUAGCUAGUUGGUAGGGUAAAGGCUUACCAAGGCAAUGAUGCGUAGCCGAAUUGAGAGGUUGAUCGGCCACAUUGGGACUGAGACACGGCCCAAACUCCUACGGGAGGCAGUAGUAGGGAAUCUUCCACAAUGGGCGAAAGCCUGAUGGAGCAACGCCGCGUGGGUGAAGAAGGUCUUCGGAUCGUAAAACCCUGUUGUUAGAGAAGAAAGUGCGUGAGAGUAACUGUUCACGUUUCGACGGUAUCUAACCAGAAAGCCACGGCUAACUACGUG
rnacentral:rRNA from 1 species